rnacentral:lncRNA from 1 species
CCCAAAGAAAAAAACAAAUGUUACCCAAUAGGCAAACAAUGCUGAGAGUUCACUUCCUCUAACUCUGUAGUUAAGUUACUCACUCAGUAUAACAUCACCCUCCUGCCAGGGGUUGAAGUCAGGAAGUAGUUUAUUUUCGCUGAAACUGAAGGGGGAAGUUAAAGAGAAAAAUAGCUGCAACUUGGUCAAUUCAGGAAAACCAGGUACGAAAAAAGAGGAGCAAGUUAAAGGGAAAGCCAGCUCGGAUUUGCUCACCAGUAAAAGGCAAAAAUCCCAGUGUUAUUCAUCUGCAUUUGGUGUGAAAGACAAAAGCUCAACUGGGAUCUGAGGCUUUCUGUGUCAGAGGGCAAGGAGUCAAUGGGGUUAUGAGGAAGUAAGACCACUUGAGACAUCAAAGAAAAGUAGAUCAAAUCACUAGACUCCUCCAAACAGGAGUGGGUGAAGACAAAAAGUGGAGAGAAUCCAGAGGGAAGAGAGGAGUAGGGAAAAUGGUGGAAAGGGAAGGUUUUUGAGAUGGAAGGCAGAGAAUGGGAACAAAAGAAGAAAAAGCUGUUUGUUUCAAAUCAAUAUUCUCCAAGAGGAUGUCUUGUUUCCCCAGGGAUAUUCUGAGGGACUCACAGGAUCAGAGCUGCGACACUUCUAACAUAUGGUAGGUAAGAGCGGCUUUAGAUUCUCAGGAAACCUCUUCCUCUGCAUCUUUUUCUCUGACUAUGAGGCCAGACUACCAGUCCACCCUGAAUUCUCUUCACUUCCCACCUUCCCCUGAGUGCUGAGUGCUUUCCUUCCUUCUUCAGGGUCAAGGAAAGUAAAAAACAUCACCGGUGUCUCCUCCCAACAGCUGAAUUAUUCUUCCAC